ACGGACAGACCAUCUGUCCCCAAUGAGGAGCUGGGUGGAUGAGACUGAAAGAAUGUAACUCUUUGUAACAUUUCUGAAAAAUUGAAUUUGUUUCCAGUAGUCCAACUUCAGAGCGAAUCUGCUACCCAGAUGUAAAUUUAGAAGCAUCAGAGUUCUUGGCUCCCUGAAGGUAAAAAAAAAAAAUUCAAUUUAGAAGAAGCAUCAUAGAUGCUAGAGAAGAAUGGUUUAAAAUCUAAAUUACCCCAAACAAACCAGGAUGGCGCACAAGGGAAGUAAAUGCAGAAAUCAGCAACAGGCAACAAGCAACAGGGGAAGGUGAACGUGAGCUGCUGCCUCUGGGGAGGGAGUCUGGAGAUGACACACGAAAACAAGACACCAACAAGAAGCAAACGGGUUCACCCAGCCCCACUCUUUAGCGUCACUUAGGGCACAAACAGAUUCACCUGUCGUGACGCAUCAAAGGGGCAUGGAGUGUGCACGAGUGUGCUGUAUGUAUACCUGUGCGUGAUUCAUCUGUAUGUAUGUCACCAGUCUGCUACAAAGAGACAGAUGGUUUUGCAGGGAGGGUUGUCAAACAGAGAAGUGAGUAAUAAAUCACGAUAAAACCCUUCAGUGUAACGAAAGCAGACCAAGGGCUGAGGGAGUCCUACAAGAGUCCAUCUGAAGAGCUGGAGAAAGGUUGAAAGGUGCCGGCAGGAGAUCCCAUGUGGCUGGGGGAGAGGAAAGAGAGCGAGUCUAGCCUCAGCCUAAGAGAGGCAAAGCCAGCAUCCUGGCUUGCUUAUAAUUCUAGCCCUGAGGAGGCAGAGGUGAGGGAGAAACCAUGAGUUCCAAGCAUGGUCCACCUGAUGGGCUCCAGGGGCGCCAGGCCUACAUAGUGAGAUGAUAUCUCACAAACAAUAAAACCAAUCUCUCUCCACAAAGCCCCCAAAGGUAGGAGGGACAGAGGGGGGCAGAAGAUAUGUGGAAGGGCUGGGAGGACAUGGCGCUGUCUCAGCCUGUUGUUAUUAUUUGUUCACAGGGGAUAAAUGACAGCCACCAAAUGGGCUGGACAAGUAACCACUCCGGCUCGUGGAGGGUUCAAGACUCCAUGCAGUUGGUGACACUGCACAGAUGCAGGUACUAGUUGCCGAGGGAUCAUGGCUGUACAAGGUCACACACAGAUGCUUCAGUUAAUGAGUGGAGAAAUCUGUCGACCUAUGGUUCACCUUCUCUUUCUCCUUGGCCAUCAGCAUCCUGACCUCCACGCUUCUUGAUUUCCUCAGGCUCUGGACCUUUCUGCGUCUGGAACAUCUCACUAGAGAAUCUAUGUCCUUUUUUGUCCCUCUAUCUCUGAGUUUGAAUAUGACCCCCAUCUCCAUCCUUCCACCUUUAUUUGUGAUGGUCAAUUUGUCACUCUGGAAGAUGGUCAUUUUACAUUAAUGAGUGAGCGCCUGGUAGAUACUUCCAUCAGAGAAAUAUGCCUGGAGAAAAAGCAUGAUUACAAGUUGGCCUGUAUGUGUAUACACAAAAGUAGAGUUAAAUUUCUUUCCUUCUUAUGUAGUCCUUGAUUUCCCAGCCAAGAAAAUUAGUGACCAUUGCUUCCAUAACACAGGAGGUUCCUAAUCUUGCCCAGCACUCCAUUAUCGUGGAAGACUUAAAACUAUGGUUUUGGUUCUGGCUCUCCUAAUGGUGAAACUAAAAAUGAAAAUGGAGAGGCUGAGAUCAAAGUCAGCAUGCUAUACGGACAAAGAAGCUAGGAACAUAACCAGGAGUGCUUAGCUCUGAUGUGGAGAAUGGAACUUUAUGCCACAGAGGAGAGCUGAAACGGAGCGAUGGAGUCAACAGUACCACGCAAGGGAGUUGUCAUGGAAACACUCAUGGGAGAGCCGGCAAUUGGAUUUUGGAAACUGAUUAAAGCAAGACUUGAUGGUGAGAAAGAAGUAAAACAGAAAGAGAAAAAUAUGAAGUCAGACACCGGAGAUGGAGUGGAGAGUGGAGUUACGUGGCCACGGAGUGGCGAGGGAACACGCCAUUAUUGCAAGACAUGGAACAGGACAGGUUUGAGAGGCAGAUCUGUCCAGCCAGGACACCAAUGAGCAACUGUGCUAGAAUUUCCCUUUUGUAGCACCACAGGGCUCGUGACUCAGCCUGCAGAACAACGUGAUAGCAGCCUUUGAUGUCACCCUGAUGACGUCUGUCAUCUUCCCCACAC
rnacentral:lncRNA from 1 species